AACUUAAAUCUAACCUAAUUCUUUAGCCUGCCAGUAUGUUCAACAUAUGAAGCGCGCAUAUAUGAAUGAAUCACUUGGACUUUCGUCACGCCGUGACGGGCUUCUCUCUUGCGAGAUAUAUCACGGUCAGUAUACACGUGGUCCGAAGAGUCCCCGCCAUGUUCUCUCUGUGUUUCUGUCGUCAAAGAUUCAAGCUGUGAUCAAGACACAACUUCGAAUGCGCACAAUUACAGCUAACCAUAUAAAUGGAUUAAUCAGGAUAACACACACAUACCUGACUGAGUUAAAUUUCUAUAUGUCAGGCAUUGUCCAUCGCCAGACUGGAGGAUACGGAGAUUUAUGACGUUUUCGAGGCAGCGUCGUGCAAUGAUUGAGUGGUUACCGGUCUCCAGUUGAACAUACCAAGAGGUGCACAGAGAUAUACUGCAAAUCACGUCGCUGAAGGACACGGAGAAUCAACAUGUUUUCGAGGCAACGUCGUGCACCGCUCGCCAGUUGAGCAUAC